rnacentral:rRNA from 1 species
GCAUAUCAAUAAGCGGAGGAAAAGAAACUAACAAGGAUUCCCCUAGUAGCGGCGAGCGAAGCGGGAAGAGCUCAAAUUUAUAAUCUGGCACCUUCGGUGUCCGAGUUGUAAUCUCUAGAAAUGUUUUCCGCGUUGGACCGCACACAAGUCUGUUGGAAUACAGCGGCAUAGUGGUGAGACCCCCGUAUAUGGUGCGGACGCCCAGCGCUUUGUGAUACAUUUUCGAAGAGUCGAGUUGUUUGGGAAUGCAGCUCAAAUUGGGUGGUAAAUUCCAUCUAAAGCUAAAUAUUGGCGAGAGACCGAUAGCGAACAAGUACCGUGAGGGAAAGAUGAAAAGCACUUUGGAAAGAGAGUUAACAGUACGUGAAAUUGUUGGAAGGGAAACGCUUGAAGUCAGACUUGCUUGCCGAGCAAUCGGUUUGCAGGCCAGCAUCAGUUUUCCGGGAUGGAUAAUGGUAGAGAGAAGGUAGCAGUUUCGGCUGUGUUAUAGCUCUCUGCUGGAUACAUCUUGGGGGACUGAGGAACGCAGUGUGCCUUUUGGCGGGGGUUUCGACCUCUUCACACUUAGGAUGCUGGGG